rnacentral:misc_RNA from 1 species
UACGGAGGGUGCGAGCGUUAAUCGGAAUUACUGGGCGUAAAGGGUGCGUAGGCGGUUUAUUAAGUUGCUUGUGAAAUUCCUGGGCUUAACCUAGGGCGGACGGGUGAUACUGGUAGACUGGAGUAUAGGAGAGGGCAGUGGAAUUUCUGGUGUAGCGGUGAAAUGCGUAGAUAUCAGAAGGAACACCGGUGGCGAAGGCGGCUGCCUGGCCUAAUACUGACGCUGAGGCACGAAAGCGUGGGUAGCGAACAGG